UAUCCUAGGGGUGAGACGUCGCAAACGGUGGCACCAGUGGCCAAAAAAGAGCAGAAAAGGGUCCGACCGAAACAGGGCAAAAUAGAGGUUCAACUUUUUCAUAGAUUUUCCGACAAGCUCGACGGCCGGCGAGGGUGCACCAUGCCGUGGAAAGGAGGGGAAGGAAGAGGGUAAAGAAGAGAAGGGCUUACCUCCAACUCCGGUGAGGUCUCCGGCGGGUAUUUGAGAUGAACACG
rnacentral:lncRNA from 1 species